AUCCGGCUGACGAGUCACGAAUAGGACGAAACGUGCGCCCUGGAU
rnacentral:hammerhead_ribozyme from 1 species